GGGUGGCUCAGCUGGUUAGACCGUGGUGCUGAUCAUGCCAAGGUUGCAGGAUCGAUCCCUGCGUGAGACA